CAAAAACACAGUAUUAAGAAGUCUGAAAAGUUGCCUGGGAAGACAACCAUGCCAAUGAACUAGCAAGAUAAAUUUACAAACAUGGAGAUAUUAUUGUAUGCUGUAAUGAAUAUGGCAAAAUCGUAAUUUUCUAAAUCAUGACUUCCCAGCCAAGUCAUUUUUUAUUUAUCAUUUCUAUUAUUUUUAUUUCUAGACUUACCAUUUGUUUUUGAAAAAUGACGACCUGUUCCUUACUUUAAUUCAUCACAAUCUCCAGUAUCCAAUGAAGGGCAUUAGCAUCAUCAGAUAGAUUCUGGUGAAACUGAAGUUAUGUAAGUUGCUGAUGAGCCGGAUAAUCACAGGCUAGAAGUAUAUGCUAUAAAAACAGUCCUCCUCCUUUGCAUCAACCAGCUGUUGGUGAUCCUGAGAAAGGGGAAGCUGUCCACUAAAAUUUUUACAGGUGUUGUUUUGGAAAGCGUGAAGUUAGAGACCCUUCCUUAA
rnacentral:lncRNA from 1 species